GGUGCUGUCUGUGUUGUGUUGGAGUCAGAGGUUGAAGCUGCCAGCAUGAUCUGGGUUUUCUGAUGAAGGAAUUCAGGUCAUCUGGCAGCUUCACUCACUCACUUCCAUCACCCUCAUUUAGCCUUCC
rnacentral:pre_miRNA from 1 species